GUCCACGCCCUAAACGAUGCGAACUGGAUGUUGGGUGCAAUUUGGCACGCAGUAUCGAAGCUAACGCGUUAAGUUCGCCGCCUGGGGAGUACGGUCGCAAGACUGAAACUCAAAGGAAUUGACGGGGGCCCGCACAAGCGGUGGAGUAUGUGGUUUAAUUCGAUGCAACGCGAAGAACCUUACCUGGUAUUGACAUGUCGAGAACUUUCCAGAGAUGGAUUGGUGCCUUCGGGAACUCGAACACAGGUGCUGCAUGGCUGUCGU
rnacentral:rRNA from 1 species